rfam:Sugiyamaella lignohabitans strain CBS 10342 chromosome B, complete sequence.
GCCUUGCUAGCUCAAUCGGUAGAGCGUGUGACUCUUAAUAACUUGAUUCAUCAAGAUAAAAGUCAUCACAAGGUUGUGGGUUCGACCCCCACGUAGGGCU